CGGCUGGCAGCUGUGACCAAGAAGAGAAAAUGGCAAAGGCUCUGGGCAGCCAAAGGCAGCUGGGGACAGCCCCUAAGCAGCAGAGGGCUCCCUUCCUAAGGGCCAGGGGAGCCUCAGUAUCUAGGCCGGUCCUAAAGUUGCAAAUGGAGACUUGUGUUACCAAGGUCCUCGCUCACAAAGUUCUCCAGGUGCAGCCCUGCCAUGGAGAUGGACAACCAAACGUGAACAGCAAAGUCCACGGAAGCACCCAGGUCCACAGUUCUUCCCACAUCUCAGCAGCUCCCCAGCUGACAAGAGAGCCAUCUUCAUUGUGGUUGACUGGCAUCAAGAAGCAAAGAGGUAAAUACAGGCCUCAAGAUGGAAGAGCUUCACCUUAGUAGCCAAAGUCAAUUCAGAGAGGCAAAAGAGUAGAUGGAGCCAACCUGCAGCUUAGGUAGGAAUCCAACUAAAACAUCCUGAAGGAGAACAAGGCUUGAAGGCAUCCAGGAAAGAGGGGUCAUACCGCUUCUUCAGUAGUUCAGUGUUCUUAUACAGGUAAUCCUCAAUUUAUGAAUACAACUGAUCCCAACAUUUCAGUUGCUAAGGGAGAUAGUUGUAAAGUGAGUUUUGCCCCAUUUUAUGACCUUUCUUGUCACAGUUGUUAAGUGAAUCACUGCAGUUGUUAAGUAAUAACACAGUUGUCAAGUGAAUCUGGCCUCCCCAUUGAUUUUGCUUGUCAGAAAGCCACAAAAGGGGAUCACAUGAUCCCAGGACGUUUCAACCAUCAUAAACAUGAGCCAAUUGUCAAGUGUCUGAAUUUUGAUCACAUGAUCAUGGGGUGAAAGACUGUCCUAAGUCACUAUCGUUAUUUCAAACGGUCAUUAAAUGAAAGGUUGUAAGUCGAGAGAGGACUACCUGUAUUGGAAAUUUUUUUCUAAAUAUUAAAUGUUUAGUUGAACAUUUGGGAAUGCCAAUUAUGGAAGUCUCCAUUAUACCCAUUACAUCAUAUUGCUCUAAUCUCAUCUGGCCUACUGCCCAUAUUUGGAGCAUUAUUUGUAGACAAUGACAGUCAGGAAUUUUAUGAGUCAGUGUUCUUUCUGACUUUCUGCCAAAUAGGUUAAGAGGUCCCAUUUAAGGAAUACCGGGGAGAAAUGGCAGGCCGAGCACCCAAAAGUGCUUUAUCCAAAAAGCAAUUGGACUUUCUUGGGUUUUUUCUUUGAAAACAUUUUGCUUUUCAUUGAUUGGUAGGGAAUAGAAGAAUUUAUAUACUUUUCAUUCAUCCAGUCAUUUGCAUUCUGAGAGUUGUUGAGGCCACUCUGUAUCCUCGGGGUCACCUGAAUCAGAGUACAAACAGGUAUGGAAACUUCUUGGACAACUGAAAGGACAGUGUUGUAAACAGGAGACAGGUGGUGUCGUGAAAGAGGCUAUCUAUGUUAAAAUUAAACAGCCCAUCCUCAAAAGAGGAGGAGGGAUAAGACACCAUCAAUUUACUUACAAAGCAACAGGCUUUCCUUUCGUUUAUUUGACUCUCCUGGGUUAGGGAGAGUCCUAGAAUCACCCCACAAGAUACUCCAAACAGCAGCAGCCUGCAGGAAGCCCCAGGAGCUGAGCUUCGGAGUAGCCGGGGAGCUGCUGGGGGAGGGGGCAGGGCUGCAACCACUUUGCUGUUGAAAAAGCAGCCAAUUGAGAAUUUAUUUUUCCAAGUGGAUAAUAGAUCAUGUCUUCCAUUUCUUAAUCAUUUACUGGGAUUAUUACCUUUAUUAAGCUAAAAAGAGGCUCUGUUUUAGCCGCAGCCUUUUUGAAGAUGUGCACUCCUAUCAGAUCCCCAAAGAAAUGUAUUCCUUUUUCCUCCUAUCCUUCUAUAACCAUUUCUUGGAGCCUGCCAUUCUCUUAGGAGGGGGGAUGCUUUGGAGAUGCUUUGCAUUGCCUUGCCCCUUUGCCCUUCCCACAGGGGAAGGAAUGCAACCGAAUAAUAUCACCCUUAUCUGGAAGACAGUUUGAAAGCCAGAAAGACCUUGAAGAGCAGGCCAAAGGAGCCAAUGACCAAAACAAUAUGCCACCUGUGGAUUGGCUGGGAUUCAAAUGGACACUGGAAACCUGGGGGGGAGGAGUAACAAAUAUUGCUUUUGAUAUACUGCUUGCGCGGGAUUUUUCUCUCAGACCUCGCUUUGAUUCCUUGCUAUCACUAGCUCCUAAUAAAAAUUCCUUUUGAGACAA